rnacentral:rRNA from 1 species
GACACGUGAAAUCCUGUCUGAAUAUGGGGGGACCAUCCUCCAAGGCUAAAUACUCCUGAAAGACCGAUAGUGAACAAGUACUGUGAAGGAAAGGUGAAAAGCACUUCGAAUAGAAGGGUGAAAGAGAACCUGAAACCGUACGCCUACAAGCGGUCGGAGCAGCAUAAGCUGUGACGGCGUGCCUUUUGCAUAAUGAGCCUACGAGUUAAUUUUACUAGCGAGGUUAAGGUAUUAAGUACCGGAGCCGAAGCGAAAGCGAGUCUGAAAAGGGCGGCUAGUUAGUAGGAUUAGACGCGAAACCUUGUGAUCUACCCAUGGGCAGGUUGAAGCUUUGGUAACACAAAGUGGAGGACCGAACCGGUUGACGUUGAAAAGUCUUCGGAUGACCUGUGGGUAGGGGUGAAAGGCCAAUCAAACUGGGAGAUAGCUCGUACUCUCCGAAAUGCAUUUAGGUGCAGCGUCGAUGAUAGUUUAUUAGAGGUAGAGCUACUGAUUGGAUGCGGGGGUUUCACCGCCUACCAAUUCCUGACAAACUCCGAAUGCUAAUAAAUGUUGGUCGGCAGUGAGGGCAUGGGUGCUAAGGUCCAUGUCCGAGAGGGAAAGAACCCGGACCACCAGCUAAGGUCCCCAAAUAUAUGCUAAGUUGAAGCAACGCGGUUGAACUGCAUAGACAGCUAGGAUGUUGGCUUGGAAGCAGCCAUUCAUUUAAAGAGUGCGUAACAGCUCACUAGUCGAGCGGUUCGGCAUGGAUAAUAAUCGGGCAUAAGCAUAUUACCGAAGCUGUGGGAUGAUAUAAAUCAUCGGUAGGAGAGCAUUCUAUCGGCGCAGAAGCAUUACUGUGAGGUAAUGUGGAGCUUAUAGAAAAGAAAAUGUAGGCAUAAGUAACGAUAAAGCGGGCGAGAAACCCGCUCACCGAAAGACUAAGGUUUCCUCAGCCAUGCUAAUCAGCUGAGGGUUAGUCGGGGCCUAACGCGAACCCGAGAGGGGUAGUGGAUGGACAUAGGGUUAAUAUUCCCUAACUUGCUCACGGUAAAAGUGACGGUUCAGCCAGGAUACUGAAGACUGACGGAAUAGUUAAGACCUAGCCUACGGGCGAAGUUGUUGUAUAGUAACUGGAUCCAAGAAAAGCGAGUGAAGCAACCCGUACCAAAACCGACACAGGUAGUCGAGGAGAGAAUCCUAAGGUGCUCGAGUGAGUCGUGGCUAAGGAACUAGGCAAAAUAGUCUCGUAACUUCGGAAUAAGAGACGCCCUCCUCUGGGAGGGCCGCAGUGAAGAGGCCCAGGCGACUGUUUAUCAAAAACACAGGACUCUGCUAAAUCGAAAGAUGCUGUAUAGGGUCUGACACCUGCCCGGUGCUGGAAGGUUAAGGGAGGUGCUUAGCGUAAGCGAAGGCAUUGACUGAAGCCCCAGUAAACGGCGGCCGUAACUAUAACGGUCCUAAGGUAGCGAAAUUCCUUGUCGGGUAAGUUCCGACCUGCACGAAUGGUGUAACGAUCUGGGCACUGUCUCAGCCACGAGCUCGGUGAAAUUGUAGUAUCGGUGAAGAUGCCGAUUACCCGCAAUGGGACGAAAAGACCCUGUGAACCUUUACUAUAACUUCGUAUUGACUUUGAGUAAGUAAUGUGUAGGAUAGGUGGGAGGCUAAGAAGCGGGCACGCAAGUGUUUGUGGAGCCGUUGUUGAAAUACCACCCUUUGCUUACUUGGAGCCUAACUUCUGAGAGGAAGGACAUUGCGUGGUGGGUAGUUUGACUGGGGUGGUCGCCUCCAAAAGAGUAACGGAGGCUUUCAAAGGUACCCUCAGCACGCUUGGUAACCGUGCGUAGAGUGUAAUGGCAAAAGGGUGCUUGACUGUGAGACCUACAAGUCGAUCAGGUGCGAAAGCAGGACAUAGUGAUCCGGUGGUUCCGAAUGGAAGGGCCAUCGCUCAUAGGAUAAAAGGUACUCCGGGGAUAACAGGCUAGUCUCCCCCAAGAGCUCACAUCGACGGGGAGGUUCGGCACCUCGAUGUCGGCUCGUCACAUCCUGGGGCUGGAGAAGGUCCCAAGGGUUG